AUUGAACGCUGGCGGCAGGCCUAACACAUGCAAGUCGAACGGUAACAGGAAACAGCUUGCUGUUUCGCUGACGAGUGGCGGACGGGUGAGUAAUGUCUGGGAAACUGCCUGAUGGAGGGGGAUAACUACUGGAAACGGUAGCUAAUACCGCGUAACGUCGCAAGACCAAAGAGGGGGACCCUCGGGCCUCUUGCCAUCGGAUGUGCCCAGAUGGGAUUAGCUUGUUGGUGGGGUAACGGCUCACCAAGGCGACGAUCCCUAGCUGGUCUGAGAGGAUGACCAGCCACACUGGAACUGAGACACGGUCCAGACUCCUACGGGAGGCAGCAGUGGGGAAUAUUGCACAAUGGGCGCAAGCCUGAUGCAGCCAUGCCGCGUGUAUGAAGAAGGCCUUCGGGUUGUAAAGUACUUUCAGCGGGGAGGAAGGGAGUAAAGUUAAUACCUUUGCUCAUUGACGUUACCCGCAGAAGAAGCACCGGCUAACUCCGUG
rnacentral:rRNA from 1 species